UACGUAGGGCGCAAGCGUUGUCCGGAAUUAUUGGGCGUAAAGGGUGCGUAGGCGGCGCGGUAAGUCGGGUGUGAAAUCUCGGGGCUUAACUCCGAAACUGCAUUCGAUACUGCCGUGCUUGAGGACUGGAGAGGAGACUGGAAUUUACGGUGUAGCGGUGAAAUGCGUAGAUAUCGUAAGGAAGACCAGUGGCGAAGGCGGGUCUCUGGACAGUUCCUGACGCUGAGGCACGAAGGCCAGGGGAGCAAACGGG
rnacentral:rRNA from 1 species